rnacentral:tRNA from 1 species
AAAUAAGAAGCAAUAAAUGCUAUUAGUUUCGACCUAAUCAUUGGUAUUAAUUUACCCUUAUUUA